UGGAAAUCUGACUAGAACAGAACCACCAUGGCCUAGGAACUUGUUCCCUGUCUAUGAAGAGUCAUCUCCAGACACCUUCUCUCAAGGCUGAACUGCAGUUGAAGAAUAGGCAUCCAUUUAACCUUACUCAUGAAGCAUGGCAAAGCAUCUCUUUUGUACAAGUGCUCCUGAAGAUAUAAGCAGCUCACUCUGGGGCAUGACACACAGUUCUCUGCAAGGUUCACAUGGAGCCUUCGGGCCAUAUGACAACACUGGGACUUUUCUUUCAGCCUCUCGUCUCAACUAGGUCAGCUUCCCUUACUUUAGUCAGCAGAAGCCAAACUCAAUAGAUGAGCCUGCCAAGAGAAGGGACUAACAAUGGGCACCACACUCUCACAGGAGGCACCAGGCAAAAAGCAUAAAGACCUAUUGUUAGAGGUGAGGGGCUCUGAGGGGCCAGACAAAGCUCAGCCUCGCCUUCUCAAAGCAGAGAAUAUAGAAGAACCUCUAUCCCCUGCUUCAAGAGAACAGUGAACGAGGGGAAAAAAAGUUCCAUCCCUCUUUUGUGAGCUCAACUGGCUGGGGUUAGUGAUGCUACAUUAUCCAGAAGGAAAAAUAAACCCAAAACACAGCUAACAAGAGCACAGCUCUGUGCAAGGGACUCAGCAAUGGGAAAACGUAACCCUUCCUAUUUGGUUCUCAGAGAUGUUUUUCAUUAUCAUUCUGUGAAGUUUCAAGAAACGAAUCCAACCCAAAGUAGGAAUGACUGUCCUAAAGUCACACUGCCUUUCUGACUCUGCGACUUUGCCACUAGAGUUUAGCCCAAGGAACCAGUGAAAGAGGUCAACUAUUAUUGCUUGAAAUUCUGAGUUAAUGGACUAAAUAAAAGAAGAGCUGAGAAAAGCAGCAAUAGUGACAGAAUCUAUCCAAAUCUAGCUGUGUGAUUACAAAGUGGAAAGCACCUAAAUGUCUUCCUGAUUAAAAAUUGGGACUGUAUCCCCAGUCAACAGAAUACUACACAGCAUGUGAUAUGUGGUUAUGUGCUAGAAGUACAUUUAUAGGAAAAUGCUCAUAAUAUGCUGUAUAUUAUGUUUGUACACAUCUAUGCAUACAUAUACAUAUUCAAGAAUAGAUCUAAUUGGGAAAAUUCAAGGUAUUAAAAGAACUUGUCUUAGAA